AUCCAGCAUACCACAUCUCUCAAAGGCUAAAAAGAAACUGUGCAGGUGUAGGCUUGCCUGAGAGCUGAGAAGAAAAUCUGGACGAGCAAUAUCCCAGAUAACCCAUCAACCUGCAUCCUGGAGCUGAGGCACUCUAGGUAUGUAAAUGGAAUAAGAAACUCUUUGUUGCAAAUCACUAAGAUUUUGGGGGGAGGUGUUUAUCUGCAACAUAACUUAGUUGAAACUGACUGACACAGCUGAUCCAAGAGAGACAUCCCUGGGGGUGAAGCAUCCUCUG
rnacentral:lncRNA from 1 species